rnacentral:rRNA from 1 species
CAAUAGCGUAUAUUAAAGUUGUUGCGGUAAAAAAGCUCGUAGUUGGAUUUCUGUUGAGAGCGACCGGUCCAUACCAUGUAUGCGUAUCUGGCUUGCUCUCGGCAUCCUCUCGAUAGACGUUACUGCGCUUGAUUGCGUGGUGCGGAUCUCGGGACUUUUACUUUGAGGAAAUUAGAGUGUUCACGGCAGGCUUUCGCCAGAAUACAUUAGCAUGGAAUAAUACUAUAGGAUCUUGGUUCUAUUUUGUUGGUUUCUAGAAUUGAGAUAAUGAUUAAUAGGGACAAUUGGGGGCAUUCGUAUCAACACGACAGAGGUGGAAUUCUUGGAUUGUGUUGCGACGAACUACUGCGAAAGCAUUUGCCAAGGAUGUUUUCAUUGA